GACGAACGCUGGCGGCGCGCCUAACACAUGCAAGUCGAACGGAGCUGAGAGAAGCUUGCUUUUCUUAGCUUAGUGGCGAACGGGUGAGUAACGCGUGAGUAACCUGCCCUGGAGUGGGGGACAACAGUUAGAAACGACUGCUAAUACCGCAUAAGCCCACGAUCCGGCAUCGGAUUGAGGGAAAAGGAUUUAUUCGCUUCAGGAUGGACUCGCGUCCAAUUAGCUAGUUGGUGAGGUAACGGCCCACCAAGGCGACGAUUGGUAGCCGGACUGAGAGGUUGAACGGCCACAUUGGGACUGAGACACGGCCCAGACUCCUACGGGAGGCAGCAGUGGGGGAUAUUGCACAAUGGGGGAAACCCUGAUGCAGCGACGCCGCGUGGAGGAAGAAGGUUUUCGGAUUGUAAACUCCUGUCGUUAGGGACGAUAAUGACGGUACCUAACAAGAAAGCACCGGCUAACUACGUG
rnacentral:rRNA from 1 species